rnacentral:rRNA from 1 species
GAUGAACGCUGGCGGCGUGCCUAAUACGUGCAAGUCGAGCGAACGGACGAGAAGCUUGCUUCUCUGAUGUUAGCGGCGGACGGGUGAGUAACACGUGGAUAACCUACCUAUAAGACUGGGAUAACUUCGGGAAACCGUAGCUAAUACCGGAUAAUAUUUUGAACCGCAUGGUUCAAAAGUGAAAGACGGUCUUGCUGUCACUUAUAGAUGGAUCCGCGCUGCAUUAGCUAGUUGGUAAGGUAACGGCUUACCAAGGCAACGAUGCAUAGCCGGCCUGAGAGGGUGAUCGGCCACACUGGAACUGAGACACGGUCCAGACUCCUACGGGAGGCAGCAGUAGGGAAUCUUCCGCAAUGGGCGAAAGCCUGACGGAGCAACGCCGCGUGAGUGAUGAAGGUCUUCGGAUCGUAAAACUCUGUUAUUAGGGAAGAACAUAUGUGUAAGUAACUGUGCACAUCUUGACGGUACCUAAUCAGAAAGCCACGGCUAACUACGUG